rnacentral:rRNA from 1 species
UACGAAGGGGGGCUAGCGUUGUUCGGAAUUACUGGGCGUAAAGCGAACGUAGGCGGUGUUCCAUGUCAGAGGUGAAAGCCUGGGGCUCAACUCCAGAAUUGCCUUUGAAACGGGAACGCUUGAGUCCGAGAGAGGGUGGCGGAAUUCCUAGUGUAGAGGUGAAAUUCGUAGAUAUUAGGAAGAACACCAGUGGCGAAGGCGGCCACCUGGCUCGGUACUGACGCUCAGGUUCGAAAGCGUGGGGAGCAAACAGG